AGGUUUCCUGCCGCUGACUCCUCAGGCAACUGCGGCUCCCGCUCGCUCUGGCCGGCGUGCGACGGCGACUCCUGCGGGGGGCAGCGGGGAAGGGCACAGGGACGCGGCUGUCCCGGCACUGCCUGCUGGGGUCCUGCAGAAGCGAGUGGCCGGCUAUUUCUGACACAAAAGCCAGACGCAAACAGAAAUACGGAGUGCUCAGGAAACAGGCAAUUUGUACAGAAAGACAAAUGAAGCCCAGCAAAAGAAAAGGGGCAAGGCCUGAAAAUAUUGCCACUUUCUUACACAUCCUGCUGCAGCUUUGUUCUUACUGAAGACAGCUACCUCAGAAGCGACAAAAGCGUGUGUGGGAAGGAAGCCUACCUGUUCAAGCAUUGCAAUAGAGUCUUGCAGCACCCCCUUCACCUGCCGGACCUGUUCCUUGUCACGCUGAGGGAUAUCCUCUCUGGACACCAUGUCAGGGACUAAGCUGAAAAGGGAACAUGAUGAGAAUCAUCAAUACCAUGGAAUAAACAUCUGUACAUCCAUACCCAGCAAGCACUGGUCUCUACCUGCACUCAUUAGCACUUUUCAAGCCAGGACCGCAUUCAGACUGUGUACAGUUACAUUUGAAACUAUGUUACCACUUUCUUAGAGAUGUUGCCUUAGUGCAUUUGUAUACACUGGACACUAAGAGGAAACAUGCAUUGUAAUUAACAAACUGAAUUCCUCAGGCUUCUAAACAGGAGUAAAAUCUUUCAUCUGAAGGAAAGUUAAAGUAAUCUAGUUCUUCUGCCAGUCUUAUGUUGCAAAGGUCUGUCCUAGCACAAAAUUAGAAGGACUGCCAUUCUCUGUCCCUGCUAAAGAUUAGGUUAGAUUUUGAAACUCUGUCUUUCAAUGCUAUGUCCAACAGAGGUGAAGCAAGACAGGUAUCAAGGUCUGCAUUAAACAAAUAGAAGCGGGGUAGCCAAAGGCGUCAAAGUCAUGAACAUAUCAGCCCUCACACUAAAAUCCUUUAAAUAUAGAGACACCGCUUCCCAAAUUGACUCCUCCAAGUCAGAUACACAAACCUAGUUAUUGAGAAUAUCAAGUCCAUUUGCAAAUGUUGUAAUGCAUUUAAUUGGAUAACAUGUUCACAGUGUUGGAAGAUGUAAAGCACAACAGAAGUGCUAAAAUGUUAAAUUACAUCACACUCCAAAACCGGUAGUUCAUCCUUUUAAAAAGUGAGCGGGACAUGAACUUUGAGAUAUUUGUACCUUGCAGGGAUCAGCAGAAAGGAGGAGGCUAUAAUUCUGUGUAGAUCUCCAUGAGACAAGAUGGAGAAAAACAGCAGGGUAGACUGUGCAGAAAAAGGGCAGGCUAAUUCUAAAAUAUCUUGGAGAGGAAGAAAGCCAGUGGUGCAAUGUGAAGCCAUUUGCUGGACAGCACUGUCAACUGUAAAAGGGCUACAGGUUACAAAAGUAUUUAAAGAUUUGCCUCCUGAAAUCUGCUUGUUAUGAGUCCAAUCCAAGUUAUCAGGUUCUUAUAUCUGGAUGAAGAUGAGGAAUUCACUCACUUUAAAGACUUCUCAUCCUGAAGGUGGACCCGGUAAAAUGACUGAGCUGCACGCUCUAUCUUUGAUAGUUUAAGGAAGAGAGUCACAUUCAGCAAAACCAAGAGCAGCAAACUGUAUAAAGAAAAUCAGACUGGUUUAAUCAUUGCUAUCAUUUUGCUUCUGCAGCAUUACUUGGGCCAUGAUGGCCAGAAUGAAUAAUGUUCUAUCCUAUCUGAACAAACCUUCAGGAAAGAACCUGAGAAAGCAUCAUGCAGGACUUUAAGGUAUCAAGAGCAUCUGAUUGGGAUGUAUUAGGCUGUUAAACAGUCUUUCAAAGGAAGUGGUGGAAGUCUCACCCUUUGGCAUUUUUAAAACUAGAGUGGAUGAAUACUAGAAAAUGUACUGCGUGAACAAUCAUGAACUAGCAGCAGCACCGACUAGUUCAACCACUCACAUUUUUCAUUCUACAUACAACGCAGUAAUUGAGCUCCUCCCCUGGAGUCUUCCUCCCAUUCCCCUGGAUGCCAGGAUGCACGGUGACCACCCUGAUCGCCUGCCCCUCAGGCCAGCCCUGAUUAGGACCCCACUGUGCUAAUGCCAUGUAAACACAAAGAAAGAGAGAGUCCCCUUACAAUCUAAGAAAAUGAUUAGUAACAAAGGUUCUACUCUGAAGACCACUGAAGUUGACCUCACUUGGGGCCCAUAUACCACAGGCUGCAUGAAUCAUCUUUUUCUGCUUCCAUAUAGGUGUAAAUACGAUUACCUCUCAGACAUCAAUCAAAUUGUGGUUUAACCUCAGUGAGUACUUACAAGAUGCUCAUUAUCACAAUGAUGGUUGUGGUCUUCCUUGCAGCAUCCCUUUUCCUUCCUGUAGGGAAUGGAAAAGAUCAGGUUAGAAAUGCGCAACAUUAAUUCUCCUAAAGAGGAGUCUACAGUGCACAGCAAGUGGUGGAUUAGAUGGCAGCCCCGAUGGACAGUCACACCAGCUGUGCGCAGUCUGGGAUGCCCAUUUAUGCACAUAACAGAAACUAUUUCUCUAUCCAUCCCAAUGGAGGAAUCAGCUGGAGAAUCAAGUUUAUAUGUCCAUCUCUUAUGCUAAUGCAAAGCAGUGCUGUGAAGUAUGUUCCUGAGUUAGGCUUGUUCUACACUUAAAACUUAGAUUGACCUAGCUACGUUGCUCAGGGGUGUGAAAAAUUCAUGCCCUUCAGAAACACAGUUAAGCUACACUAAACCUUGAUGCAGACAUCGCUAGGUCAGCAUAAGAAUUUUUCUGUCGACCUAGCUACUGCCUCUUGAGUGGGUGGGUUUACUGUAACGACCAAAAAAACCCUUCUGUAAGUGUAGCAAGUGUCUUCUCUGACACAGCACAACCGCAACUCUGCUAUGUGGACAGCCUUAGACAAAGCAGCUCCCAGUGCGUACUCACUUCCAUAUGCCUACCUGAUCACAUGGCCAAUGCUGCAUACCAGUGACCAUUCCGGUCACAUGGCCAAUGCUGCAUACCAGUGACCAUUCCGGUCACAUGGCCAAUGCUGCAUACCAGUGACCAUUCCAGUUUCUUUUCUUGUCUAUCGAACCAAAAGUCAACCUGGUUUCAGUAAUUAUCAUCCUGCAGAAAACACUUUAAAUUCAGCUGAGUGCAAAAGCAUUCCCCAUUGGACACCUUUGGGAAUUUGAUAUUGGCAUAGGGCAGGAUGAAGUGUACAUUUUCUCUCAAACUAAAAGGGUGUCACCCACCACUACCGACUGGUUAACCUAGAAUUGUGUAAGUUACCUGAUCUCCUACAAUAGUUCCUAACAUGCAGAUUUCCUGGCCUGGCAAAGGGACAUACAUUAAGGCUGCAACAUGCACGGAGACAAAAGCACUCACCUGGAAAGCUGGAGCAAUGGUGGCAGAUUAGGAAUGUGGGAAUUAACUCAGUUACAUAUGCUACUAACCCAAGUUUACUCUGAUAUUCUCAAGGGCUUUUUUCCUGGUUUAAGGUCUGUGUUCUCCGUUCAGUGGUUAUAAUUUAAGUUGUUUCAUAUAAGUCAGAGUUCUCUGGCACUCAUUAGUGCACAGAUGUUCCUUUUCUCUUUCAAAGUAGUUACUGUACGCCAUGGCAAGUCAAUCUGUCACGUCUAGUGGCAGGAAGGGGCAAUAAUGCUAGAUGAGCUUCAGUGCCCCAGAAACGACUGAAGCAG